UGGCGGACGGGUGAGUAACACGUGGGUAACCUGCCCUUAAGUGGGGGAUAACAUUUGGAAACAGAUGCUAAUACCGCAUAAAUCCAAGAACCGCAUGGUUCUUGGCUGAAAGAUGGCGUAAGCUAUCGCUUUUGGAUGGACCCGCGGCGUAUUAGCUAGUUGGUGAGGUAACGGCUCACCAAGGCAAUGAUACGUAGCCGAACUGAGAGGUUGAUCGGCCACAUUGGGACUGAGACACGGCCCAAACUCCUACGGGAGGCAGCAGUAGGGAAUCUUCCACAAUGGACGCAAGUCUGAUGGAGCAACGCCGCGUGAGUGAAGAAGGCUUUCGGGUCGUAAAACUCUGUUGUUGGAGAAGAAUGGUCGGCAGAGUAACUGUUGUCGGCGUGACGGUAUCCAACCAGAAAGCCACGGCUAACUACGUGCCAGCAGCCGCGGUAAUACGUAGGUGGCAAGCGUUAUCCGGAUUUAUUGGGCGUAAAGCGAGCGCAGGCGGUUUUUUAAGUCUGAUGUGAAAGCCCUCGGCUUAACCGAGGAAGUGCAUCGGAAACUGGGAAACUUGAGUGCAGAAGAGGACAGUGGAACUCCAUGUGUAGCGGUGAAAUGCGUAGAUAUAUGGAAGAACACCAGUGGCGAAGGCGGCUGUCUGGUCUGUAACUGACGCUGAGGCUCGAAAGCAUGGGUAGCGAACAGGAUUAGAUACCCUGGUAGUCCAUGCCGUAAACGAUGAAUGCUAGGUGUUGGAGGGUUUCCGCCCUUCAGUGCCGCAGCUAACGCAUUAAGCAUUCCGCCUGGGGAGUACGACCGCAAGGUUGAAACUCAAAGGAAUUGACGGGGGCCCGCACAAGCGGUGGA
rnacentral:rRNA from 1 species